ensembl:lncRNA
UGAUGAUCUAAGAUUGGGCAGUCAAUAUUUCCAUUCUUCCUGGUCACAGUGAUUGGAUCCUAGUUGAACCAAUCAGAAACCUAACUAACAUUGUAUAUGGAAAGGCAGUAGGAAAAGUCUCCCUUCUUCUUUAGAGUUGAAGUUGUGUGUAUCUGGUCCCAUAGCUGCUGGUAAUUAUGGGGACUGGGGUUUAGAAAAGAUGUGUGCAGGAAGAACCAGGAGAUAGAGGAAGAAAGAAUGUCCUACAAUAUCUAUUGGGCAUCAGGAGCCAUGCCUAGUGAAGUCUCAUUGUCCAGACCAAGCAGUGGCAUCCAAGAGCAUCUAACAAGAUCGAGGAGGCCAGAUCCAAUCUCAGAGCCUAGAUUAGCUCUACACACAGCUGAGGAAGGACUUGACUUCUCCGGAUAGCAGUCACAGUUCAAGCCGAGACAAAGACCAAGGAAGUCUGCCUGGCUGG